CUCAUUUUUCUACUGCUCGUGGUAAGUGGCUUCGUGGUCUUUAUAGCUGUUACUCUUUUGUACUUUGUCUUUUUCUUUUAUUUUCUUUUGAGCGAUUGUGCGAACAUAGCAUAGCACGCACUAUGCCUUCUGUGUUGUAGCUGCCUGGCCAGGGCGACUGGCGGAUAAGGUCUUGUGCGUGGCCUCGAGGCUUAAAAGUAGCAGUGGGGCUUUGUGAAGGACAAAAUGGCGAUGGCGGGCCGUGUAGGUCCCCCUUCCUAUGAUGAGGACCUUUUCACAGACCUGUACUGAGCUCCGUGAGGAUAAAUAACUCUGAGGAGAUGGGCCCUGCAAGCCUCUUGCUUAGCCGUCUGUUCAGAAAAUAGCGUUUUCGAAAUGCCCUGAGUUGACCUAAUGUCUUAUUGGGCUCCUGUCUGCAGGAUUUACGCGCACGUUGGAACCGAAGAGAGCUCUGUUGUUGCAAUGUUCAGCCCACAAGAGCUUACUGGUGAAGGAAUGGGACAAGACCCAUCUUUAUGCAAAGCCAGCGUUACAGUAAUGUUCCAGCAUCUCAUAAUCUAUCCUGGGGAAUUCAGCUGCCUCCCAGGGUGAAUACAGGUAUUCCUGAUGACAGUCUGCCUCUAUCUUACAGAGCAGCUUGUUGCUAUAUACCAUUGAAAAGCCUUCAGAGCUGAGAGGUACUACUAACCAAUAACCUGCUUGGCUCAAAGGGCCAGCACCUUCUCUCUAAAGCCCAAGAGGAGUUUGAGGUAAAUGGCUUUGCAAUAGUUACCAUCAAUGGCUGCUAUAUAAAAUUUUCUGUGAUUUUUGUGUGUGAUAGCACUGUGGUCUGGGUGAAUGUACACAGACAUAACUGGCUUAACCCAAAGUCUUUGAUCUCCUGAACCACCAGUGAUGAAUUGCUGCUCACCAGUGAUGAGUUGAAUACCGCCCCAGUCUGAUCAAUGUGUGACUGAAAGGUAUUUUCUGAGCUGUGAGCCUGCCUUCCAGUGACAUGUUCUAAAAAUUGCAAGUUAUUUGAGGAGGCUUUACAGCCAAUAGGAAGUUCUUGGGCUAAGUAGUGUUUCCUAUAAAAUGUGCCCUGAAACUUCUUUCUGCCAAGCAAUAGAUACAAUUGAGAGAUUGUAAAAUGUGACAUAGAAUGAAAGUCUCUCAAGACUACAUUUUUCUUUCUUGAUUUUGCAGGAAAACUAGGUGUCUGUGUUCACUCCAGGCUGAAGUUACAGGUGAGUAAACCUAAAUGUAAGGUGGACUAUGCUAAAAAUUCCCAAUGAAGAAACUUUCACAUGUCUUACUCUCUGUCCUAGUCCCAGAGCCUGUAAAGGUGAACCCACUGGGACUGGCUGGGGGAGAAGAGGAAGAUUUGUUCCAGAAGGAACUGUCUGAGGGAUGAUAAAGAUUUCUAUACAGAGAAAGGGAGUAAUCAUCACUUGUUGAAAACAUUGGUUUUAUUUUUUCCAGGUCUGAGCAAAUAAGGUGUAUAAAAAAUGGAAUCUGUCUUGGAGGACAUCAGAAGGUGAAUUUUCCAAGUUCUUGGACAACCUAGCUGUUGAAAAGCUUUCUGGGUUUGGGGGGUAUUUCAGAUGUACCUUAAAGUGUUAGCAGACACAGAUUAAGACACUGGGAGCCAAUGAAACAGCAGUUGAGGGUUUGCUGUGUAUCACAUUUCUGUAUUUUAUCACCCCCUUCCUGCAACAUUAUUUAUCUGGAAUCUACCUGCCCUUUUGUUUUUUAGAUACAAGGGCUUGGUUUUGUUACCCAGGCUGGUUUCAAGGCCAUAGCUUUAAGAGAUCCUCUCACCACAGAUUUCCAAAGUGCUGGGAUUGCAGGUGUGAUUCAUGGCACCCAGACUUUGCUGCCUUUCUUACAUGAUCCAGGCCCAGAACCCAAACUCAGGCACUGUAUAGAUGACCACUUUCGUAAACUACUGACCUAGCUUGUUGCCAAUUGUUGAUUGAACUUCCCAUAACUCCACUUCGUGUCUGUUCCUCUGUAUACAGCCACCUUCUGUUCCCGUCAUGAGCCUUUAGGUCUCCAUUUGCAUAUUGCAAAUACUAUGUUCCAUGUAGGUAGCUCAUUCAGGGCCUUGCUCUUCACUUCAAAAAAGGUUCCCUUGAGGACUGGCUGUCAAUUUGUGUUGCUGUGUUGGUUGUUGAUGAAAAUAAUAAAAUGA
rnacentral:lncRNA from 1 species